rnacentral:lncRNA from 1 species
GAGGGAGAGGUGGAGUCUCCUGUGCCGUCUUCAGUCUUGAGGAAGAAUGGAGGCUGCAGCCUGGCCAGGAAGAGUGCACCUCGCCAGGAAGGCAGGUGGCUGUGUCAGACUAGACUGGCUCCUGCGCUGGAACCUGGCCCCAUGAGCAAGAGCUUUCCUUCAGGAGAUUUUGCCAUUGAAAGUGUCACCGAGUCAAGAGUUUGGAACAGGAAGAAGUAGAUGUGAUCUGGAACAAGGAGCUAUCAUGGGUCCAGCUUGUCUGCCUAGGCUGGGAUGGUAACUGUGGUAGGAGCACCUCCAAACACUGGGACACGGUCUGUCAGGUGAAAGCUCAGUGAUGAGGUCUUGCCAUGACAAGGACUUGAGAAUUGAAGAAAACAGUGGCUCCUGGAUGGAGAAGAAGAAGAAAGCAAGAUAGCAACAAGAAGAAAACUACAAUAGCAAGA